AUCUCUUGAGUAGCUGGGACUACAGGUGCCCGCCACCACGCCCAGCUAAUUUUUUGUAUUUUUAGUAGAGACGGAGUUUCACCGUGUUAGCCAGGAUGGUCUCGAUCUCCUGACCUCGUGAUCUGCCCGUCUCGUCCUCCCAGAGUGCUGGGAUUACAGGCGUGAGCCACUGCGCCCGGCCAAUCUUCCUCAUUUUACCGAUGAGGACAGGGAGAUGCAAAGGGGGUAAGAAACAGUGACCAAGGUCAGCCAGCGGGGUGAGAGCUGCGAUUUGAAUCCAGGCCUGACUCUAAAGCACCUGCCUACCCAGCAGGACUUGGCAGCAGAUGCAAAUAAGGGAGCAAGGAGGCAGAAGUCAGAGAAGGGCAGUUGGGGGACUCCUGCGUCCCAGAAACAGUUGGGAAGGGGAGAUGGUGGAAAUCCUGGUUCUUCUCUGGGUUCUGAGUGGGCUCUGCCUCUUCCCCCGGGCCUAUCCCCUCCUGAGGCUCCGCCCCUCUCCACUGCACCCUGGCCCUCCCCCUCCUCCCUCCCUCCUCAGCUCCACCCCACUCCCCUGUCUAGGCAUGCAGAUCCUGCGCACGGCCCAGGCAGCGCUGGGCAAAGGCUGCCUGGCCAGCUCCUUCAUCUGCGUGUACCUGUUUACAGGCGAACUGUACCCCACAGAGAUCAGGCAGAUGGGGAUGGGCUUCGCCUUGGUCUACGCCCGCCUUGGGGGCCUGGCGGCACCCCUGGUUACCACACUUGGGGAGUACAGCACCAUCCUGCCGCCUGUGAGCUUCGGGGCCACCGCAGUCCUGGCUGGGCUGGCUGUCUGCUUCCUGACCGAGACCCGCAACGCACCCCUGGUAGAGAGGAUCGCAGCGAUGGAGAGAAGGUGAGGGGCCUCCAGCACCAACAGGUCGAAAGUUACAGGAAAUAACUGGGGGGCAAAUGGGGUGCUCUCCUCACUCCUGCGCAUCGGAAACAUCCUGGCUGGAUGCACCAGAGCUGUGAGAUGCCUCCCCCACCUCUAUCUACAAUGGCUUAGCUUUCCCCAAGAAUGGACCCGAUCAUGAAGGUUUUAAAAAGAAUAAACUGUGAACCAGGAAACACGUGGGUUGGAAGUGAGAACUGGCAGAGAAGUGGGGAGAGGACAGCAGGGGAAACUGAAGCAAACACAGGCCCCCGUGGUUGCUGUGCAGGCUUCAAAUUUGGUUCUGGGCUUCCUCCCAACAGAAAGGGAGACCCCAUUCAUGACUACUCUUGGAGAGGAAAACGAAUACCAGCCCCUCAGGAGAGCGAAGCUUUCCAUUUUCCUCAGCAUUUAGCACUAGGAGAGGUUUCUCUUCUCUUCUUGGCCUCUUUUUUUUUUUUUUUUUUUUUGAGAUCAUCUUGGCUUCAAGUGUGGGUCUCAUUAGAAAAGUCACUAAGGUAACAGCAAUGCCCUGGACAAUGUUUCUAAAACAAACGCAAGAGGGGAUUUGAUCUGGCUGCUGCUUGCAGCAUUUCUUAGCAACAGUGGGCUCAGGGAAGACCUUUAGUUUGCGGGAAUGGUGACAGGGACAGUAGCAGGGCCCGUGUGUAACCCUCUCUGAAGGUCGGCUUGAUCCCAAAGGUGGACCCAUCCGUACCCAGUGGCCUGUAUAGGUGCUGUGUUUGCAACCCUGAAAUGACUCCCAUCAACACCCCAUCUCUAACCUGAGCCAUGGGCCAAGGUUGCACUGUAAGAAAUCAAGGAUAUAUUCUUUGGCUAGUCCUAUCAUUUCUUUUCUUCUUCUUCUUCUUUUUUUUUGUUUGUUGAGAUGGAUUCACUCGUUGACCGGCUCGAGUGUGGUGGCAAUCGCGCCCUGCCAC
rnacentral:lncRNA from 1 species